CGGACAUCAGGAGGUUAGUGCAAUGGCAUAAGCCAGCUUGACUGCGAGCGUGACGGCGCGAGCAGGUGCGAAAGCAGGUCAUAGUGAUCCGGUGGUUCUGAAUGGAAGGGCCAUCGCUCAACGGAUAAAAGGUACUCCGGGGAUAACAGGCUGAUACCGCCCAAGAGUUCAUAUCGACGGCGGUGUUUGGCACCUCGAUGUCGGCUCAUCACAUCCUGGGGCUGAAGUAGGUCCCAAGGGUAUGGCUGUUCGCCAUUUAAAGUGGUACGCGAGCUGGGUUUAGAACGUCGUGAGACAGUUCGGUCCCUAUCUGCCGUGGGCGCUGGAGAACUGAGGGGGGCUGCUCCUAGUACGAGAGGACCGGAGUGGACGCAUCACUGGUGUUCGGGUUGUCAUGCCAAUGGCACUGCCCGGUAGCUAAAUGCGGAAGAGAUAAGUGCUGAAAGCAUCUAAGCACGAAACUUGCCCCGAGAUGAGUUCUCCCUGACUCCCUGAGAGUCCUG
rnacentral:rRNA from 1 species